GCAUGCAGUCGAACGAAUCCCUUGGGGGUAACUCCGAGGGGGAAGUGGCGAAAGGGGCAGUAAGGCGUGGGUAACUUGCCUCGGGGCCCGGAAUAGCCAUCCUAACGGAUGGGUAAUACUGGACGUACUGGUCGGGUGGCAUCAUUUGACCAGGAAAGAUUCAUCACCCUGAGAGAGGCUCACGUAGUAUUAGCUAGUUGGUGGGGUAACGGCUCACCAAGGCCAAGAUGCUUAGCAGGUGUGAGAGCACGACCUGCGCCACUGGCACUGAGACACUGGCCAGACUCCUACGGGAGGCUGCAGUCGAGGAUCUUCGGCAAUGGGCGCAAGCCUGACCGAGCGACGCCGCGUGUGCGAUGAAGGCCUUCGGGUUGUAAAGCACUGUCGAGGGGGAGAAAAGGGCAACCUUGAUCGACCCCUGGAGGAAGCACGGGCUAAGUUCGUGCCAGCAGCCGCGGUAAGACGAACCGUGCGAACGUUGUUCGGAAUCACUGGGCUUAAAGGGCGCGUAGGCGGGCGGUCAAGUCAGAGGUGAAAUCCCACGGCUCAACCGUGGAAGUGCCCCUGAUACUGACUGUCUCGAGGGAGGUAGGGGCGUGCGGAACUUCCGGUGGAGCGGUGAAAUGCGUAGAUAUCGGAAGGAACACCGAUGGCGAAAGCAGCGCGCUGGACCUCUACUGACGCUGAGGCGCGAAAGCCAGGGGAGCAAACGGGAUUAGAUACCCCGGUAGUCCUGGCCCUAAACGAUGGGUACUAGGUAGUGGACUUACAUGGGUUCACUGCCGAAGCAAAAGUAUUAAGUACCCCGCCUGGGGAGUAUGGUCGCAAGGCUGAAACUCAAAGGAAUUG
rnacentral:rRNA from 1 species